UUGCACUUAACUGCUUCUUUGGAGAGCCUAAUUAAGGAUGAAUUGUCAGCCAAGCAACCUGAAGCAUAUGACUGGUUUUGGUCUGAUCAACUUCCAAUAGUUGUGACAACUUUUGUGAACCAUUUUGAAAGGGACCUCGUUUUACUGCAGUUACUACAGUAUGCAGGAAAGGAUUAUCUGAGGGUUCAGGCAAUGCUAGUGAUAUCUCACUUCUCAUGCUCGCGCUGACCUGCAUUGCUACAAUCACAAAACUUGGACCAGCAAAAGUUUCUUGCUCUCAGUUUUUCUCCACAAUACCAGAUAUAACUGGUUGAUUGAUGGACAUGCUUGUUGAUUUCAUUCCGAUACACCAGGCUUAUCAUUCAAUUAAGGAUUUGGGUCUACGCAGAGAAUUUCUUGUCCAUUUUGACCCUAGGGCUGCAACCUGUGUUACUCAUGAAAGAGGAACAGAAGAAAUGUCUUUUUGGGUGGAUCUUAUACAGAAACAGCUGCAGCGAGCGAGCGAUUGACAGGGAGAGGAUAUGGUCAAGGCUGACGACUUCUGAAACUAUAGAGGUAUUGGAAAAGGAUUUGGCAAUAUUUGGGUUUUUCAUUGCUCUAGGGUGAAGCCCACGGUCUUUUUUAUUGGCAAAUGGCUUUGAUGUUUUGGAUGAUCCUGUUGAAAGUUUCUUAAGGUAUCUCAUAGGGGGCAGUGUGUUAUAUUAUCCUCAGCUCUCAUCAAUAAGUUCCUAUCAACUCUGUAUGUGGAGGUUAGCGUGCUUAAUUACCUGUUUUUCAUAUGGGUAAACCUUCCAUGGUUCAAUCAUAAUUCAACCCGACUCACCUAAGCAUUUUCCCAUCUAUAAGUGGUUGGCUAGAAAAAUCCCAUUUAGCCAUUCAACUCUACUUAAAUAUUUGUUUCAUGAUUUUCUUGCUUCAAUCAUGAUCUGGCUUUAUUGAGUUGGUUCCACAGGCAGUCUGCGAAGAGCUGGAAUGGCUUACUUUCUUUCCAAGCAAUGUAGAUGCGAGGCAAUCACGUGACCAUAAAAGUAAAAGAGAAGGACCUCCCAAUGAGGAAGCCAUUCCCCAAGUAAUGCAUGUGUGCUCUUAUUGGAUGCAGGGUUUUAUUAAGUACAGUAAAUGGCUAGAGAACCCUUCUAACAUUAAGGCGGCAAGAUUCCUUUCUAGAGGGCACACCAAGUUAAAGGAAUGCAUGGACGAUUCGGGUGUACUAAAGAACGAAAUGGAGACU